CCUACGGGAGGCAGCAGUGAGGAAUAUUGGUCAAUGGACGAGGGUCUGAACCAGCCAAGUAGCGUGAAGGAUGACUGCCCUAUGGGUUGUAAACUUCUUUUAUAUGGGAAUAAAAUGUUCCACGUGUGGGAUUUUGUAUGUACCAUAUGAAUAAGGAUCGGCUAACUCCGUGCCAGCAGCCGCGGUAAUACGGAGGAUCCGAGCGUUAUCCGGAUUUAUUGGGUUUAAAGGGAGCGUAGGUGGAUUGUUAAGUCAGUUGUGAAAGUUUGCGGCUCAACCGUAAAAUUGCAGUUGAAACUGGCAGUCUUGAGUACAGUAGAGGUGGGCGGAAUUCGUGGUGUAGCGGUGAAAUGCUUAGAUAUCACGAAGAACUCCGAUUGCGAAGGCAGUUCACUGGACUGCAACUGACACUGAGGCUCGAAAGUGUGGGUAUCAAACAGGAUUAGAUACCCCAGUAGUC
rnacentral:rRNA from 1 species